UACGUAGGGGGGCUAGCGUUGUCCGGAAUCAUUGGGCGUAAAGAGCGUGUAGGCGGCCCGGUAAGUCCGCUGUGAAAGCCCGAGGCUCAACCUCGGAACUGCCUUCGAUACUGCGGGUCUCGAGUCCGGGAGAGGUGAGUGGAAUUCCUAGUGUAGAGGUGAAAUUCGUAGAUAUUAGGAAGAACAACCAGUGGCGAAGGCGGCUCACUGGCCCGGUACUGACGCUGAGGCGCGAAAGCGUGGGGAGCAAACAGGG
rnacentral:rRNA from 1 species